AUUUUUCUUUACAAUUUCUAUUACAGAUGCCCCGCACACGUAGACGCCAUCAUUCAAGAGAUCGUUCAUCCGGUGGGAUGCGUGAUAAACGUCGGCGUGUCGAUUCUGAGGAAAAUUCACCAAUAGCCUCAGAUGUUAAUUCACCGCCACGUUAUAAAAAUAAUCGAUCGGAUGCCAAACGUCGUCGUCAUGAUUCAGAUGCCAGCUCAAGAGUUUCAAAGGAAUCAACGUAAGUUUUGUA